rnacentral:misc_RNA from 1 species
GGCUUUUGAGGGAAAAGGCUGAGAGGACUAAAGAGAGGUUCAAGCAGUUAAUGGAAAAGGUGAUUCCUGUUGUUGAAAAGCGACGACCCCCACGAGUCAUGCGGCGAGUUAAUUCAAUGAAAUGGUGAAGUACUCAUCUUCCAUGAGACGGGUAGUGGUAGUGGCAAGAAGGAACAGAAGAGAGAGAUAGGCAAUAGUAUCUUUACAGUUACUUAAAAACAUAUUCUUUGCUACUGAUGGUUGAGGAGUCAUCAGAGGGGUCUGCAAUGAAAAG